UGUGGGGAGUGGUUGGAGGUGAGGAUGAGUCAACAGGUUGGGGCCCAGAGGCACGGUGAUCCUGUUCUCAGAUUGCGCAUGAGCAGCCGAGCCUGCUGACCGCAGCUCCGCACUCGUCCAUCCCCCUGCGGCUACACCAUGUCCAGCUCCUACGAUGAGGCCUCACUGGCUCCAGAGGAGACCACCGACAGCUUCUGGGAGGUGGGGAACUAUAAGCGGACCGUGAAGCGCAUCGAUGACGGCCACCGUCUAUGCAACGACCUGAUGAACUGCGUGCAGGAGCGCGCCAAGAUCGAGAAGGCGUACGGGCAGCAGCUCACCGACUGGGCCAAACGUUGGCGCCAGCUCAUCGAGAAAGGUGCUCCCCCAGGCUCACAUCGUGCGCGCCCCCAGGCCGUCACCAGCCCCCUCGGUCUGGGUCCUAGGAGCCCCGGCUACUUGCAUGCACCAUGCCCUCCAUCUACCAGACACAGGACCUUUUCAGGCGCUGUCCCCUCCUAGAUCAAACCAGGCCUACCUGUUCAUCUCUAUUUUGUACAACUUUAGGUUGAAUUAAAAAAAAAAACACUUUUUAUCUUGAAA
rnacentral:sRNA from 1 species